GAAAAUGCUUUCUCAUCCAUUCUAACAACUUCACGUGAACACACAUUCACAAUGGUGGAAGGGACCAUACAGUUUCCUCCUUCCCAAGCACUCAUAGGCAUAGAGAUAUACACACACAUUCACAAGGCACAUGGAGAACAUAAUUUGGAGGAAGAUAAUUGAGGGGAAUGAAGAUAUAGUCGGAGAAGAGAAAGCAAAGAAAUAUGAUCCUUCUUCUUCUUCCAAUAUCCAAAUAUAGAUCUGACCGCUUUCCACAUCAGAGAAAUCAUGUAAAUUUAAUUUCUUCUCCAAUUAAUCCACUACUUCUCUAUUAUGUAAAGACGACGAGAUUUUCUUACUUUGAUGUUCUUUUCAGCAAAAACAGAGUUGCCUUCUCUGCCUAAAAACCUCCAUUAACAUCACUAUUUCUUUGAUAAACAAUACUACAAACACCUUAUGUUCAUUAAAACCAACCUGAAAAAUAUCAUGAACAGAAUCACAAAUAGUCAUAGUUCACUUCUCAACUCCUCGUUUUCGUGCGAGGUUUGGUUCAAAGCUCGGUCAAGUGGGGUCAGGUUCGAGGUUGCCGACGAGGUUCACUGUUCAAGCUUCUGUCCCUGUUGUUAUUUUUCAAUUAAAUAUAAUUCACUCGAGUUCAUUAUAAUUGAGUUUCGUCAAUAGAAAAAGGGAAGCUUUUUGCUGUAGAAGGUCCAUCUCUCAAACCUUUAUUUUUAUUUCAUUUUAUUUGACUUGAUUUGGUGUUCUUUUUAGUUGGCAUGUUUUCAUAUGUUGUCUUGAUUUCAUUAUUUAGUUAAAUGCUUCAAUUCGUGAUAAUGAAUCGAUGAACUGAUAAUGAAAGUCCAACGUUUUAACCUUGCCUUAGAUAUUUAAAAACCUCGUAGCUUAUCUAGUAAAUAAAGUAGUAAAGAAAAUAACUUGGGCUAAAAUUGAUUUAGGCACUGGAUGGGCCUUAGAGAUAAAGUUUGGAAUGUAUUGGGACGGGAGAUGUGGGGCUUAAGUGAAAGAGAAAUUUGGAUUCAAAAUAUUUUCUUUCUCGCUUAUGUUUUAUUGCUUGAUCACUCGAAGCAUGAUUUAGGCUUAGUUAUGCAUUAUGCAUUAUUGGUUUAGAGGUGAGAGGUUGUCCCCUUAGUUAUUAUAAUUUUACCAGGAGAAUGCCCCGAAGUAUUUGUAAAUAUUUUUAUCAGAGGAAUACCACGAAUUACAUGUAAAUGAAGGCCGAAAACGAACGUUCUCAUGGAGGUGUAGUGUAGGAUAGUUUAGAUGUAUUUUCGUUAUUUUGCUUUCUCUUUUAAUACGUGGGGACAACCUUGAAACUUCUUUUAUUCGUAUGUUUCAUUUGUGUGUUUUGUUCAUGUGAUCUCGAUUUGAGUACUCUUUAAAGCCAACUUGAUCAUGUAUGUAACAGUAUAUAUUACCAGACUUGGGGAAUGCCUAAUAUCUUCUCCCUGGAUCAAAUGAAUUCCCUUACUUAGAAUCUUUGGUGCAAAUCGAUUUUGGAGUCAAAUAUAUUUUGAAGGGAAGAUAUUUUCUCGAGUUCGAGUUUUUUAGAGCAAAGAAAGGAAAAAAACAUAAGUUGCACCCUAAAUUUGUCCGAAAAAUUCUGAUGCACACUCAAACUUUACGAGCGUUCAUUGUUCCCUCAAAACACUUUUGGAGUAAAUUAUUGAGAAAAUACAUAAGAUGCAUCCCGUACUUGUCCCGAUAAAUGAGUUUCUAGUUUUACCUUUACGGGUAUUCCAAUACCACCCUAUACUUGUUCUGACUUAAUAUUUUACACCCUUUUAAGCCCUCUCCCAGGCGUAUUGUGCAUAACAACAAAUGAGCGCAUUUAAUGCUUUUAUGUAAUCAUAAAAUUUAAAUAAAAGGAAACAAUAAAUUAUCAGCUCUAAUUAAACCCCCUAACGGUAAUAUUUCCCUUUGCAUCCAAUUAAAUACCUGACCCACACCAUUUUUCUUCUUCUACCAUAUCUACCUCAAAAAUCCUAAUUUUGUUUUCUACCAAAUCUGCCAUAACUAUUGUUGAAGAUUGGAUUUUUGAAGGCAACGGUAGGUAAUUUUUUUAUUUGGGUAAUUCUUCAGUCUGUUUCUACUCAAAUUCUCCCCUUCUUUUUUCUUUUGUCUGAAACCUACGGGGACGACCUUCAAAUGCCUUCGAAAAGUGUCAUGACCCAAUUCCCCCUAUAGGUCAUGAUGGCAUCCAACGUCCCCGCUAGGCAAGCCAACAAUGAACUAGCCAUGUAUUUAUUCUUUUAACAAUUUCGAAAUAGUUGAUUUUUAUUUAUUAAGUAAGAGGUGAAAAAAAUAAUGCGUAAAUAAAUAUGAGAGCAAGUGCGGUGUAAUAAAUACUCAAAAAUCAUCAAAUAUCUACUAGCAUAUUUUCAAGACCUAGUAUCACAAGUGUAUGAGCAACUAAUAGAAUAUACAAAACACCUAUGCUACUAUCUGAAGUAAGAUAGACAGAAAGUAAAUACAAAAGAGAGACUGCAUGUGCUGCAGAACGGACUCAGAGAGCAGCUCACCACUAUGCCUCGGGGUAACGGGGAUGCACGCUGGAAUGACUACCAGAUGCACCUGUCUCAGAUCCUGCACAAUUAGUGCAGAAGUAUAGCGUGAGUACAUAAACAACAUGUACCUAGUAAGUAUCCAGUCUAACCUCGAAGAAGUAGUGACGAGGGGUCGACAUUGACACUUGCUAUGGGCCAAUAAUAAAAUGCAGAAACUCUAAACAGUUAUGAAAUAUGGAAAUGAUUCUUUAACCGAUAAUAAAUUCAAAAAUCUUCAUCUAACACAUACUAGUUCCAAAUCACUUCCGGUUGUUAAAUAAAUUAUAUCUCUCAAGCCAUAACAUAAUAUCAAGUGUAAUCGGGUUCCGAGAAUUAUCACGCACGAUUUAUGCCGAUGUCGUACGGCCCGAUCCAAAAUAUUGUGUGCACUGUCGAGAGUCGAACGACACGAAUCAUAGAUGUAUCUAUUAUACUGCCGAGGCGAACCGCCCACUUCCAUGAGAAUAAAAAAGUUUACCUCGCUCUCGGAAGUACUUGCGAUGCGAGAGGACAUGAGUUUCUCAGAGUUAUUAACUAUUCCUCAAUUCUUUCCCCAAAUAAGAAAUCUAACUUGGAAGUUUUCAAAUUUAAAAUCUCUAGUCUUAGCUCUAUUUAAGAUAAUUAACAUGCACAAUAAGCAUGACAGUACAAUUAAAGCAUGAUGUAAAUCUAAGACUACCCGGACGUCUCAUAGAAUAUAGAUAUGUACGGAUUCUCAUCAUCUAGUGCGUACGUAGCUCCCCACAUAAGUAAUUCACAAUAAAAAAUACACCUAAGAGGAUGAGUUCCCUCUUACAAGGUUAGACAAGAGACUUACCUCGUUCUCAAGCUGACUUAUGGUCCACAAAUACGCUCUAAAUUAUCAACUUGGUGUCAGACAACCCGAAACUAACCAAAUAUUAUUUAAACAAUCAAUAUAUACUCAAAAGUUCAUAAUUUAACUAUUGGGGGUAAUUACCUACCCCUAAAUGGAAGAUUCCUAAAAUUUACCCCCGGGCCCACGUGCCCAGAUUCCGAAAAUUUCCAAAGAUAAUUUUUACCCAUAAACUCACGAACUCAAAUAUAUCAUUUUCACCCAAUUCCAUAAUCAUUUUCGUGGUUAAAUCCCAUUUUUAUCAAACCUAGGUUUUUCAACUAAACCCAUAAUUUUUAUAAUUUUACAUGUCAACAUUUACCCAUAAUCUAUGUAUUUAACUUAUAUUGGAUAUAAAUUACUUACCUUCAAUAUCUAGGUGAAAACCCCUCUCCAAGAAGUUCCAAAAUCGCCCAAGAGAUGAAAGAAAUGAGUCAAAAAUGGCCUAAGUCCCGACUUAAAUGAACCUCACUGCCCCGCGGUGCUACUGUCGCACCUGUGGCUCCACUUCUACGGACAAAACCUCACAGGUGACCAAGCCUAGGUCUUCCUCCUUCGCUUCUGGGGACAACGGCUCGCUUCUGCAGCUUACGCGUCGCACCUGCGACCUUCCCCGCUUCUGCAAUCACUUGCCUCGCACUUGCGCCUUCGCAGGUGCGGUCCCUGCCUCGCUUCUACAAUCACUGGGCAGUCCAUGCCAGGCCACUUUUGCGGUCAAAAGCUCGCACCUGCGAGCUCGCCCCUGCGGCCAAAAUCUCACAGGUGCGGACGCACCAGAAAUGGUGCACCAGCAGUUCUAUUAAGUCCAAACUUGGUCCAUGCAUCGUCCGAAUGGCACCCGAGGCCCCGCCCAAACAUACCAACAAGUUCGUAAACAUAAUACAGACCAUCUCCACCUCUCGAAACAUGAGAAACAACAUCAAAACUAAGAAUCACACUCCAAACCAAAUCGAAUCAACUUAUGAACUUCAAGUGCUUCCAACUUGCUCCGAAUGCACUGAAGCAUACUUAAACUAAUCGGAAUGACACUAAAUUUUGUAUGCAAGUAUUAAAUCACCAUACAGAACUAUUCCCAGGAUCGGAAUCCCAAACAAAUCUCGAUAACACCAAAACCAACUUCAAACCAAAUUUAAAGAACUUGAAAAACCUUCAAUGUGCCAACUUUCAAUAUUAAACGCUGAAAUGCUCCAGGGUUAUCCAAAACAUGAUAUGAACAUACACCCAAGUCCAAAAUCAUCAUACAAACCUAUUGGGACCAUCAAAUCCCAGUUCUGAGAUCGUUUACUAUAAAUAUUGACCUGAGUCAAACUUAACCCUUUUAAGCCAAUAAUAAGGAACUAAGUAUUCCAAUUUCAACUCGAACCUUUCCAAAUCCCAAACUAACCAUCUCCGCAAGUCAUAAAAUAGUAAAAGUACAUACAGGGAGUCUUAUUUAGGGGAACAUGGAUCUAGAAAGUAAAACAACCGGCCGGGUCGUUAUAAAAAGGUUGGCUAGGCUUUGUUUGGAAGAGGACGAUCAUGUGUCUACUGAAGAAGUGUGAUGUAAUCAUGGUUAUUUUUUGAUAUUUUUAACCUCUUGGACCCCUAGGAAUCCUGGUAGAAGGUAUUCGGCUUGUCCUUACUAAGGGGUAAGUUAAUUUGAUUAGUAAGAUUAAUUGAGUUAAAAAUUGAAUAACUGAACACUGGAAUACAAUUUGUAUGGUAGUUUAUGAUAGGGUGCUCAAGCAUAUGAUAUUUGGCGUUGGAUGGAUGAUGAAAUUGACCCUAGAUCAAAGUUUGUUAUUCCUAAAUUGAAGGAAGAGAUGAGAAGGAUGAACAUGAGAUUGAUAAGAUACACAUUCAACUAGAUUACUUGGAGACUGAAGUUGAGAAGAUGAAAGAAAGGAAGAAGAAAUGGAAGAGCAAAGCUGCUCGAUCAAGGAAAAUGGAGAAUAUUUUUUGGUUUAUCAUUUAUGUUGUAUUAUUAUCAGUAUUAGUACUAGGUUUCAAGUAUUGUAUUUGAAGGAUGAUGGAAUGAAGUUGCCAUAGGCUAUUUGUAUUAUGCAUUUGCUGUAAUUGUUGAACAUAGUAGUGUAUGAUUAGUUGUAUUCAAUGUUGGUGAAUACCUUUUGUAAACAGUUUUUGUUUUGUGGAAUGAAGUUGGUGCUUCUUUUAUUCUAAA
rnacentral:lncRNA from 1 species